rnacentral:rRNA from 1 species
GACAGAGGAUGCAAGCGUUAUCCGGAAUGAUUGGGCGUAAAGCGUCUGUAGGUGGCUUUUUAAGUCCGCCGUCAAAUCCCAGGGCUCAACCCUGGACAGGCGGUGGAAACUACCAAGCUGGAGCAAGCUAGGGGGCAAUGGAAUUCCCGGUGUAGUGGUGGAAUGCGUAGAUAUCGGGAGGAACACCAGUGGCGAAGGCGGUUGCCUGGAGCUUUGCUGACGCUGAGGCGCGAAAGCGUGGGGAGCGAUCCGG